rnacentral:rRNA from 1 species
GAUGAACGCUGGCGGCGUGCCUAAUACAUGCAAGUCGAGCGAACGGACGAGAAGCUUGCUUCUCUGAUGUUAGCGGCGGACGGGUGAGUAACACGUGGAUAACCUACCUAUAAGACUGGGAUAACUUCGGGAAACCGGAGCUAAUACCGGAUGAUAUUUUGAACCGCAUGGUUCAAAAGUGAAAGACGGUCUUGCUGUCACUUAUAGAUGGAUCCGCGCUGCAUUAGCUAGUUGGUAAGGUAACGGCUUACCAAGGCAACGAUGCAUAGCCGACCUGAGAGGGUGAUCGGCCACACGGGAACUGAGACACGGUCCAGACUCCUACGAGAGGCAGCAGUAGGGAAUCUUCCUCAAUGGGCGAAAGCCUAACGGAGCAACGCCGCGUGAUUGAUGAAGGUCUUCGGAUCGUAAAACUCUGUUAUUAGGGAAGAACAUAUAUGUAAGUAACUAUGCACAUCUUGACGGUACCUAAUCAGAAAGCCACGGCUAACUACGUG